UGGGGAAUCUUGCACAAUGGAGGAAACUCUGAUGCAGCGAUGCCGCGUGAGUGAAGAAGGCCUUUGGGUUGUAAAGCUCUUUCGUCGGGAAAGAAAAUGACUGUACCCGAAUAAGAAGGUCCGGCUAACUUCGUACCAGCAGCCGCGGUAAUACGAGGGGACCUAGCGUAGUUCGGAAUUACUGGGCUUAAAGAGUUCGUAGGUGGUUAAAAAAGUUGGUUGUGAAAUCCCGGAGCUUAACUCCGGAACUGCAAUCAAAACUUUUUAGCUAGAGUAUGAUAGAGGAAAGCAGAAUUUCUAGUGUAGAGGUGAAAUUCGUAGAUAUUAGAAAGAAUACCAAUUGCGAAGGCAGCUUUCUGGAUCAUUACUGACGCUGAGGAACGAAAGCAUGGGUAGCGAAGAGG
rnacentral:rRNA from 1 species